CCUACGGGUGGCUGCAGUCGAGGAUCUUCGGCAAUGGGCGCAAGCCUGACCGAGCGACGCCGCGUGCGGGAUGAAGGCCUUCGGGUUGUAAACCGCUGUCAGGGGGGAUGAAAUCAUGGUGGGUACUCCCAUCAUGUUGACAGAGCCCCAGAGGAAGCGCGGGCUAAGUUCGUGCCAGCAGCCGCGGUAAUACGAACUGCGCGAACGUUAUUCGGAAUCACUGGGUUUACGGGGUGCAAAGGUGGCAUCGAAAUGCCUUGGCUCAACCAAGGCACAGCGCUCUAAACUACUUUGCUUGAGUGAGUCAGGGGUGCACGGAACUUCCGGUGGAGCGGUGAAAUGUGUUGAUAUCGGAAGGAACACCGGCGGCGAAAGCGGUGCACUGGGGCUUAACUGACACUGAGGCACGAAAGCCAGGGGAGCGAACGGGAUUAGAUACCCGUGUAGUC
rnacentral:rRNA from 1 species